ACGAGGGGGGCAAGUGUUGUUCGGAAUCACUGGGCGUAAAGGGAGCGUAGGCGGAUGUUUAAGUCGGGAGUUUAAAACCGGGGCCCAACCCCGGAGCGGCUCCCGAAACUGGGCAUCUUGAAUAGGUCAGAGGCUGGUGGAAUUGGAGGUGUAGCGGUGGAAUGCGUAGAGAUCUCCAAGAACACCUAUUGCGAAGGCAGCCAGCUGGGACCAUAUUGACGCUGAGGCUCGAAAGCAUGGGGAGCAAACAGGA
rnacentral:rRNA from 1 species